rnacentral:rRNA from 1 species
CAGUAGUCACGAGUUUGAUCCUGGCUCAGAUUGAACGCUGGCGGCAUGCCUAACACAUGCAAGUCGAACGAGACCUUCGGGUCUAGUGGCGCACGGGUGCGUAACACGUGGGAAUUUGCCUCGGGGUAUGGAAUAACUCAGGGAAACUUGAGCUAAUACCAUAUAAUGUCUUCGGACCAAAGAUUUAUCGCCCUGAGAUAAGCCCGCGUAGGAUUAGCUAGUUGGUGAGGUAAAGGCUCACCAAGGCGACGAUCCUUAGCUGGUCUGAGAGGAUGAUCAGCCACACUGGGACUGAGACACGGCCCAGACUCCUACGGGAGGCAGCAGUGGGGGAAUAUUGGACAAUGGGCGAAAGCCUGAUCCAGCAAUGCCGCGUGAGUGAUGAAGGCCUUCGGGUUGUAAAGCUCUUUUACUCGGGACGAUAAUGACGGUACCGAGAGAAUAAGCCCCGGCUAACUCCGUG